ACGGGUGAGUAGCGCGUGGGAAUCUACCCAUCUCUACGGAAUAAUGCAUGGAAACGUGUGCUAAUACCGUAUACGUCCUUCGGGAGAAAGAUUUAUCGGAGAUGGAUGAGCCCGCGUUGGAUUAGCUAGUUGGUGGGGUAAAGGCCUACCAAGGCGACGAUCCAUAGCUGGUCUGAGAGGAUGAUCAGCCACACUGGGACUGAGACACGGCCCAGAUUCCUACGGGAGGCAGCAGUGGGGAAUAUUGGGCAAUGGGCGCAAGCCUGAUCCAGCCAUGCCGCGUGAGUGAUGAAGGCCCUAGGGUUGUAAAGCUCUUUCACCGGUGAAGAUAAUGACGGUAACCGGAGAAGAAGCCCCGGCUAACUUCGUGCCAGCAGCCGCGGUAAUACGAAGGGGGCUAGCGUUGUUCGGAUUUACUGGGCGUAAAGCGCACGUAGGCGGACUAUUAAGUCAGGGGUGAAAUCCCGGGGCUCAACCCCGGAACUGCCUUUGAUACUGGUAGUCUUGAGUUCGAGAGAGGUGAGUGGAAUUCCGAGUGUAGAGGUGAAAUUCGUAGA
rnacentral:rRNA from 1 species